ensembl:lncRNA
UACCGGUACAGAGUCAAUGUGGAGGCUAUAUACAGGGGGUACCGGUACAGAGUCAAUGUGGAGGCUAUAUACAGGGAGUACCGGUACAGAGUCAAUGUGGAGGCUAUAUACAGGGGUACCGGUACAGAGUCAAUGUGGAGGCUAUAUACAGGGAGUAAAGGUACAGAGUCAAUGUGGAGGCUAUAUACAGGGAGUACCGGUACAGAGUCAAUGUGGAGGCUAUAUACAGGGGGUAAAGGUACAGAGUCAAUGUGGAGGCUAUAUACAGGGGGUACCGGUACAGAGUCAAUGUGGAGGCUAUAUACAGGGGGUACAGGUACAGAGUCAAU